rnacentral:rRNA from 1 species
GGAUGAACGCUAGCGGCAGGCUUAACACAUGCAAGUCGAGGGGUAGAAGUCUUCGGACUUUGAGACCGGCGCACGGGUGCGUAACGCGUAUGCAAUCUACCUUUUACAGAGGGAUAGCCCAGAGAAAUUUGGAUUAAUACCUCAUAGUAUAAUGACCUGGCAUCAGGAUGUUAUUAAAGUCACAACGGUAAAAGAUGAGCAUGCGUCCCAUUAGCUAGUUGGUAAGGUAACGGCUUACCAAGGCUACGAUGGGUAGGGGUCCUGAGAGGGAGAUCCCCCACACUGGUACUGAGACACGGACCAGACUCCUACGGGAGGCAGCAGUGAGGAAUAUUGGACAAUGGGCGCAAGCCUGAUCCAGCCAUGCCGCGUGCAGGAUGACGGUCCUAUGGAUUGUAAACUGCUUUUAUACGAGAAGAAACA